AUUGAACGCUGGCGGCAGGCCUAACACAUGCAAGUCGAGCGCGCGGCGGACGGGUGAGUAAUGUAUGGGGAUCUGCCCGAUAGAGGGGGAUAACUACUGGACACGGUGGCUAAUACCGCAUACUAUCGGUUGAACCCUUAUGGGAUGAGCUAGUCGGUGGGUUAAAGGCUCACCUAGGAGACGAUCUCUAGCUGGUCUGAGAGGAUGAUCAUCCACACUGUGACUGAGACACUGCCCGGACUACUACGGGGGGCAGCAGUGGGGAAUAUUGGAAAAUGGGCGCAAGCCUGAUGCAGCCAUGCCGCGUGUAUGAAGAAGGCCUUAGGGUUGUAAAGUACUUUCAGCGGGGAGGCGUUACCCGCAGAAGAAGCACCGGCUAACUCCGUGCCAGCAGCCGCGGUAAUAC
rnacentral:rRNA from 1 species